GGCCGGAUAAGACGCGACAGCGUCGCAUCCGGCAAUCAAUGCCUGAUGCGACGCUGUCGCGUCUUAUCAGGCC
rnacentral:ncRNA from 1 species